rnacentral:lncRNA from 1 species
CCUUCCUUCCUUCUUCCUCUCUCCCAUCUCUCUUCUGAAAUUUCUCUUAAGGCUUGAAGGUUGAACGACGAAGAAUCCUCAGCAAUCCACCCAUCUGCAGGAUCCAAAUUUCAGUGCCCAUAAUUUUCUAUUCUUUGAAAUCCCUACCUUCCAUUCAUGAUUGCUGAUUUAUUUUUGUUGCUCCAGCCAGUUCUUCACACACUCGGAUUGCAUCCCCAUGAUCUUGGAUCGCGGAAGGAUUUGCAAGCAACCAUGGCCUGAUCUGAUGUCGAUUCCUCCCUCAUCCAGAAAUCUUCAUCGACGUAUUUGUGAGAUCCCUUGCUUCUAAAUAUU